AGCGAACGCUGGCGGCAGGCCUAACACAUGCAAGUCGAACGAACUCUUCGGAGUUAGUGGCGGACGGGUGAGUAACACGUGGGAACGUGCCUUUAGGUUCGGAAUAACUCAGGGAAACUUGUGCUAAUACCGAAUGUGCCCUUCGGGGGAAAGAUUUAUCGCCUUUAGAGCGGCCCGCGUCUGAUUAGCUAGUUGGUGAGGUAAAGGCUCGCCAAGGCGACGAUCAGUAGCUGGUCUGAGAGGAUGAUCAGCCACAUUGGGACUGAGACACGGCCCAAACUCCUACGGGAGGCAGCAGUGGGGAAUCUUGCGCAAUGGGCGAAAGCCUGACGCAGCCAUGCCGCGUGAAUGAUGAAGGUCUUAGGAUUGUAAAAUUCUUUCACCGGGGACGAUAAUGACGGUACCCGGAGAAGAAGCCCCGGCUAACUUCGUG
rnacentral:rRNA from 1 species